rnacentral:rRNA from 1 species
UAUAGUCAUGCCACCUGGAACAUGUCUGAUCUCGUCUGAUCUCAGAGGCUAAGCAGGAUCAGGCCUGGUUAGUGCUUGCAUGAGAGAAAACUUAGAAAACUUACAA